AUACGGGGGGUGCAAGCGUUAUUCGGAUUUAUUGGGCGUAAAGGGCGCGUAGGCGGCUUGGUAAGUCAGAUGUGAAAGCCCGGGGCUCAACCCCGGAAGUGCAUUUGAAACUAUCAGGCUUGAGUAUGGGAGAGGGAAGUGGAAUUCCUGGUGUAGAGGUGAAAUUCGUAGAUAUCAGGAGGAACACCGGUGGCGAAGGCGACUUCCUGGACCAAUACUGACGCUGAGGCGCGAAGGCGUGGGAAGCAAACAGGAUUAGAUACCCGGGUAGUCC
rnacentral:rRNA from 1 species